GAGGGUAUAAAAAUUUCAGAAAAAAAUUAAACAUUUGUUUUUCAUUACAAAUUUUAUUUAUUACCUUUUGUAGUUGUUAUUUUAUCAUAAAGUACAAAAAUCAUUCAAAACAAUCAAUUCGUGUUGGCCCAAGAUGACUUUUAAAAUGUAUACAUCAUUGAAAAAGUUCCAAAUUAUCUCCCUUUGGUGGAAAAAUGCCAUUUUUUGGCUUUAAAAUUGAAAUAUCUUUUUUAACUCAUCGGUGACCUAUAUUUUUUAAUAUAAUUUCCAUAUAAGCUGUACUUAAACUAAAUUAUUGUAAAAUUUGAGCGAGUUCUGUAAUAAAUUUUCUUUUUUUAUUUCGAUAUUAACUUCAUUUCUCCUAUUACUUCAACAGAAAAAAACCACCUUUACAAAAAUGUAUGCUUCUUUCGAAGGCAGAUUGUGAGCGAAAAUGAACGGUGACCCCACUUUUUUAUUUAAUUUUUCUUUUAACUAUAAGAUAAAGUUCAUUUAUAGAAAAAUAUGGAGAAAUCCUAUAUAAAUGAUUUAGACCCGCGAACCCCC
rnacentral:lncRNA from 1 species